CUCGCGCUAGCCUUACCUUAUUAAUUUACGUCGGUCGAACUUUUAACUACUUCUGCAAAAUUAUAACAGCAAGUUCCCUCUGUUAAAACAAAGAGCAACGUGUUUACGGAGACACCGUGUAGUGUCCUUGGCAAGUGCACAAGCCGGAUGACUUUGCAGUUUUCAUCCUAAAUUUAUCCUUUAUAGUUUCUUGAAUUGCAAGUCAUUCUCUGAAGAGUCAGCUUCGUCGCCGCACACACACAUAAGGUACAUGUACUGUCGCAGUGUAGUCUUGCUGUUUGACAAACAUUAAGUGUUUUCCGGGGUCGCCUGAAGUACUCUUGCAUCAGCUGCCGUCAGCCGUCAGUUACUUUGCUAGCCAGCGUAAACAAGCCUGGACUGAGGUCAGCUAUUAGGCGUCAACAGUGGCCUGUUCU